AGUGGAUUAGUGGCGGACGGGUGAGUAGCGCGUGAGUAACCUGCCUUACACAAGGGGAUAGCCGUUGGAAACGACGAAUAAUACCCUAUGAUGUUUCUAUCUCGCAUGAGAUAUUAACCAAAGUGUUAGCGGUGUAAGAUGGACUUGCGUCUGAUUAGCUAGUUGGUGAGAAAAAAGCCCACCAAGGCAACGAUCAGUAGCCGGCUUGAGAGAGUGUACGGCCACAUUGGGACUGAGACACGGCCCAGACUCCUACGGGAGGCAGCAGUGGGGAAUUUUGCACAAUGGGGGAAACCCUGAUGCAGCGACGCCGCGUGAUUUAGAAGGCCUUCGGGUUGUAAAAAUCUUUUGUAUAGGAAGAAAAUGACAGUACUAUACGAAUAAGGUCCGGCUAAUUACGUGCCAGCAGCCGCGGUAAUACGUAAGGACCGAGCGUUGUCCGGAAUCAUUGGGCGUAAAGGGUACGUAGGCGGGUCAUUAAGUUAGAAGUCAAAGGCUAUAGCUCAACUAUAGUAAGCUUCUAAAACUGGAGACCUUGAGUAAUGGAAGGGAAAGUGGAAUUCCUAGUGUAGCGGUGGAAUGCGCAGAUAUUAGGAGGAAUA
rnacentral:rRNA from 1 species